AUGUGGUCAACGCCUACCAUUUGUAUUGUGUGCAUCCUCUUUGGAACAGUCUGCGAUGUUAAAGAGUGCUCCCAAAUCCCACCGCCGCACAGCGGCGCUGAGUUACAGGAGGAGAUCCGGAGCGUUAUAGAACAAAUUCAAUCACUGACCAGAGUAGUAACUGAUUAUAAAACGCUAAAAGGCAGCAGCACCUCAAGGUCAGGGCAUAUCCAAGGCGAUGCUUCGUCCCGACCCGGAGGAGACCCAUCCCUGUUGGAGGGUGUCCACUUAAACUCCUAUUAUAGCGUCUUAGUUAACCUAUAUUCGGUAUACAUGCCGUUAAUGAGCGAGCGAUUCGUCAAUAACCUCCCCGAAACACUCGUGUGUAUCCUGUCCGGGACACAAGAAUGUGGCCUGGAAGCAGAGUUAACGAGGGUGGUCGUUCUAGAACUCGCUAAUCCGUUGUUGGCGCUUUUGUCGUUUAUGAGGUCGGAGGGAUGUACCCCUAAGGACACGGGUGCGGGCAGCUUAUUCAGGUCCUACUUGAGGAUGGACGAGGUGAGCACGGCGGAACUCACCGGCUUCCAGGAAAUGCUUGUAUUGGCAAUGUCACAGGUACCCCAGUCUGGGAGUCUGAUGUCGACUAUAAGUCGACUUUUGGACAUGGUUGUGACGUAUUUCUCAACGAAGAUGGGGACUCUUAUCCAAGUCCCCAUUGAUUACGUGAACAUUGGUUUACAGUUUGGAAUUACAGUUCCUUCGCUUAAUCAAACCGAGCAAUGCCAGCAAGGUAAGGAACACCCACAAACAUAUUUACCCAUAUGAAUACGAUUAAAGAGUGUUCAAUGAAAAAUAUAUGUUCGUUUCUUGCUCUGCAGGGAAUCUGAAGCAGCUUAUAAUGUGGUAAGCAAUCUUAACAUCAAGUUCAUCAC
rnacentral:lncRNA from 1 species